rnacentral:rRNA from 1 species
UACACGCUGUGACUAGCAUAUCAAUAAGCGGAGGAAAAGAAACUAACAAGGAUUCCCUCAGUAACGGCGAGUGAAGCGGGAAGAGCUCAAAUUUGAAAUCUUGAAAGGUCACCUUUCACGAAUUGUAGUUUAAAGAAGUGUUUUCUGUUACGAUCGUAAUAUAAGUUCUUUGGAAUAGGACAUCACAGAGGGUGAGAAUCCCGUCUAUGAUUGCGAUUUGUAGCUUUGUGAUACACUUUCAAAGAGUCGGGUUGUUUGGGAAUGCAGCCCAAAACGGGAGGUAAAUUUCUUCUAAGGCUAAAUAUUGGCGAGAGACCGAUAGCGAACAAGUACCGUGAGGGAAAGAUGAAAAGAACUUUGAAAAGAGAGUUAAAUAGUACGUGAAAUUGUCAAAAGGGAAGCGUUUAACACCAGUGUUGUCUUCUGAAAAUCAACCUCUGUUAGCUUUAUGCAUGUUUGUUUAGACCUAAUCAGCUAUCUUGCAUGUUCUAUUGUUUGCAGUGGUGCACUUUUCAGUUUACAGGUCAACAUCAGUUUUUUUUACCGUAAAAAAGUUAAAGAAAGGUAGCUCAUGGCUCCGGUCGUAAGUGUUAUAGUCUUUUUCCUAUGCGGUAGGAGAGACUGAGGUCUGCAGUGUAGGCUAUUUGGCUAGAUACUCAGGUGCUAUGUGAUACCAUUUCAUAAACAACUUGUUGAUUAUGUUUUGUCUAUUGCAUACUCGCUUGUACUAUCAUACCUACGCUUAGGAUGUUGACGCAUGAGAUAUACGC